CAAUAGCGUAUAUUAAAGUUGUUGCAGUUAAAAAGCUCGUAGUUGGAUUUGUGGCGUACGGUGUGUUCCGGGCACUUGUUGUCUGAGUAACCUGCUGUUGCCAUCCUUGGGUGGAACCUGUGUGGCAUUAGGUUGUCGUGCAGGGGAUGCCCAUCAUUUACUGUGAAAAAAUUAGAGUGUUCAAAGCAGGCUUAUGCCGUUGAAUAUAUUAGCAUGGAAUAAUGAGAUAGGACUUUUUUGCUAUUUUGUUGGUUUGCGCAAGAAGGUAAUGAUUAAUAGGGACAGUUGGGGGUAUUCGCAUUCCAUUGUCAGAGGUGAAAUUCUUGGAUUUUUGGAAGACGAACUACUGCGAAAGCAUUUACCAAGGAUGUUUUCAUUAA
rnacentral:rRNA from 1 species